CCUUUCAACGGUUGCCUGGCCUGAUGUUUUUUUACUGUCACAAUAUAACAUCGGUUCACGUCUUGUGACUUCACUAAGCAAGUGGGGGGAUGGGCUACACAAACUUUCUAACAAAUGACACAGGGAAUUGCAGCAACUGAAACAUGGGAUGUUUUGAUUUUUUUUUGUUACCUUGUUCCGUGAAACGGUGUGAUUGAAAGCGAAUAUAUUCUGGACGUGGCUAUUGACAAUCACCAAAUAGGGUCGGUCAAAGACACCGUCCACUUGAAUGAUUUCUUGGCCCAGCGCUCCGGUCCCAUUUUCCGAUGGCAGGAGGCAGCUCAGGAGAAAGGCAUUCCCUAGGAACAUCCAGCUCGCCCGUGUCCGACUCCACACCGGCCGCAUCGAACCACCUUCGGACCUCAGAAAAUCCAGCAGCAUAUUACAGCGAAAACAACAAACAGCACAAUAGCCCGGGCUGUGUGGUGUUGGAAGCAGAUCCACCGGCCGGUCUGAUACAACGGGGAGAUUGCUAGGUCAAUAAAAAGCCAUCUCACCGACAGAGUCCAGAGCUGGAUGUCGGAGCUUCAGCAACAAGCGGCCCCUCUGUAAACAUAUACUGACUAGCGAGGAGUUGACGUCACCCGUCAAGCAACCUGCCCUCCCAUCUCUUCAGUUCCUACCCUCGGUUGGAAUAUCUUCAUUUUAUAUUGGUCCAGCUGCUUCCUCCGCAAGCUUCCUCCGAGGACAGUGCUGGUGCUUUUCGAUUUUCUGUUGUACCAGGCUCAAAUAUAUUUAGAUCCUUUUUAUUUUGUUUUGGCACAUACGUUCCCCUGGAAAAAUCGUUGGAAAUUUUACAUCACAAAGUUGCUCAAUGAUUCAUGUAUUUUGCCCUGUGAUUCUUUCCAGUUUGUGUCUAUCAAGCGUUAAGCUGAAAUCCAACCGGGAAUUCUGGGUUUCUCCGUGUACAGCCCUGAUGGAUCCCUUCCCCUCUUUAAACAGUCACUCUUUCUAAUGAGUGGAAUCCUUAAUUCUUGAAUGGGACAUCUUCUACUCCAGCCUUUCCCAGUUCACCAAAGUGAACCCUGACUGUCCUUCCCUAAAUUUUACACAGUCAUGCCUUCAAUAUGUGUCCUGGGUGCAUAUCUUAAACUGAAUGAUGUAAACUUGAUGAACAUGACCCAUUCCAUCAUUGUAAUUUCAUCAGUGCUAGCCAUCUGAGCUAUCUGGUCUCCCCAGCAUCCCUGACUUGAUCACUUCACCGUAAGCAACUGUGACUUCAGCUGCCUGAGCCCAAAGCUUUGAAAAUUGGUCCCCAAACUCGCUCGGCCUUGCCUCCUUUAAGAUGCUCCUUAAAACCAGUCUCUUUAAACAAAUCUUUGAUUAUCUCAUUGAGUGUACUCAAGACAGAGUUAGCUAGGCUCUUGAUUAAUAAGGGGAUUGAAGGUUAAGGGGAGAAGGCAGGAGCAUGGAUUUGAGAAACAAAUCAGCUGUGAUUGAAUGGCAGAGCAAAUGUCAUGGGCUGAAUGGAAAAAUGGUGUUCCUGUAUCUUAUUGUCUUAGAAGCCACAAGUUUUGUGGUGUACUCCCCACUUGCCUGGAUGGUGCAGCUCUCCAACAACACUCAAGAAGCUUGACACUAUCCAUGACAAAGUAGUUUGCUUGAUUGGCACCGUAUCCACAAGCAUUCACUACCUCCCACACCAAUGCUCAAUAGCAACAGUGUAUAUUGUCUAUAAAAUGCACUGCAGAAAUUCACAAAAGAUCCAUAGAUCGCACCUUCCAAACACAAGGCCAGUUCCAUCUAGAAGAACAAGGGCAGCAGAUACAUAGGAAUACUACCAGCCUCGAGCUUCACUGCAAGCCACUCAUGAUCCUGACGUGCAAAUAUAUCACCAUUCCUGCAUUGUCAAUAUCUGGGAACUCCUUCCCUAUGGGCAUUAUGGAUCAACCUAUAGUAAGUGGACUGCAGUAGUUCAAGAAGGCAGCUCAUGCCAUCUUCUCAAGGGCAACUUGGGAUGGGCAUAAAUGCUGGCCCAGCAAACAAUGCCAUGUCCAAUGAAUGAAUCAAUCUACUUUACCAUCUCCUUCUGUCGGUCAGUUUCAAAUUUUGUUUGAUAACAACUGUGAAGUAUCUUGGAUAUUUUACAACGAUAAAGAGAUUAUGUAAAUGCAAAUUGUUGAUCAAGGUGUUGGGAACCAGGUUUUUGGGUAAAGUUAGGUAAGAUCCUUUGAACAUGGGAAAUAGGAGCAAAAGUUGAUCAUUUGGCCCCUCGAGCCUGCCCUGCCAUUCAAGAGGAUCAUGGCUGACUUGUUUGUGUUUGGAAUUUCACAUCCCAAUCAACCUCAAUAACCCUGAUUCCCCGGUUAAAAAAGAAAACUACCCAUCUGUGUCUUGAAAUAUUCAAUAUUCAAGAUCCAGUUUUCACUUGUUAUGGACCAGGACACAGCCCCUCAAAAUAUUUUGUAAAAGUCGCCUAGUCCCUAAAUAAAAUGUAAUUUCCCUUCCAGUGGUCAAAAACGCCCUUGACUGUAUCUCUCGUGUCUCCCACAUCUCAGCCCUCACACCCCCUCCCUGCAAUAACAACAGUAAUAGUAAGACCAGUAAUGUAGUUGUACUUACUGCUGUCUAAGGUUCAAUGGAGAUGUAGCUUUUACCUCUGAUAAUUAGACAGGACUUAGACACAAUAUAAACAAAGAAGGAUUGGUGGCAGCAAACAGCUCUUAUUCUGAAGCAUGUACUGGUAAAGAUGGCAGGUGCCAUGAGGUGUCAUUUGAUUCCUUUUCAAUUGCCCACGGAGCAAUUCAGUCUAUUCUAUUCUCCUGCUCUAUCCACAUAGUCCUGCAAGUCUAUUUCCUUCGACUGUGCAUGCAAUUCUCUUUUUGAAACAUCAAUUUUUUCCAUUCCCUCCACCUUUAUGGACAAUCAGCUCCAGGUCAUUACUACACAGUGAGUAAAAAUGUCAGCCAUGAACGAUAGAAGAGACUGGAGGGGCUGAAGGGCCUGAUCCUGACUCACUUUUACAUAAAAGCCCCUGCAUUGGAUAGUGGAAUAAGGUAUUAAGGAGGCUGUGAUUUUUAAAUUGUUUUAAGAUGAUCAAUUGUUGUUUGCAUGCCCUUAAUUUUUCGUGAUGAAUGUAAAACAAAAUUUACACCAAUUGCAAUAUGUAUAUCUUUAUCUUACUCAGGGCCCUAUGUGUUUUGGUUCAUGUGGAAUAAAGCAUCUUACAAAUCAA